GCAUCUCAACAGAAAGGGGAAAUAACUGUAAACACCACAAAACCAAACAUCACAUCACCCUAAGUUUGAUAGUACUAUUAAACUAAGUAACCUUUCUUGUCAGGGUUCUCUGAAGUCCAAAUACAUGCAUGAGAACUGUAAUAGGCAGCAAUUCAUCGGUCGAAACUACAUAUUGGUUGGUCUGCCACAGGAUCCACUGAAUGACAACAUUCUGUUAUGCCAUCAUGCGCGGUUCUGUGUCAGGCUCCAUUGCUUUCCCCUUGCUG
rnacentral:lncRNA from 1 species